UUCCGGUUGAUCCUGCCGGAGGUCAUUGCUAUCGGAGUCCGAUUUAGCCAUGCUAGUCGUGCGAGUUCAUACUCGCGGCACCGAGCUCAGUAACACGUGGCCAAACUACCCUACAGAGACGGAUACCCUCGGGAAACUGAGGCUAACCUGUCAUACCGAUCUCAGGCUUGAAUCGCAGAGAUCACUAAAUGCCCCGGCGCUGUAGGAUGUGGCUGCGGUUGAUUAGGUUGACGGUGGGGUAACGGCCCACCGUGCCCAUAAUCAGUACAGGUUGUGAGAGCAAGAACCUGGAGACGGAAUCUGAGACAAGAUUCCGGGCCCUACGGGGCGCAGCAGGCGCGAAACCUUUACACUGCACGCACGUGCGAUAAGGGGACUCCGAGUGCGAGGGCAUAUCGUCCUCGCUUUCGUGUACCGUAGGGUGGUACACCAACAAGGGCUGGGCAAGACCGGUGCCAGCCGCCGCGGU
rnacentral:rRNA from 1 species